GUUUGAUCAUGGCUCAGGAUGAACGCUGGCGGCGUGCUUAACACAUGCAAGUCGAACGCUCGUAAGAGAGUGGCGCACGGGUGAGGAACACGUAGCUAACCUGCCUUCAAGUCUGGGAUAACGUCCCGAAAGAGACGCUAAGACCGGAUAAGCUCACGCUCUGUAGAUGGGUGUGAGAAAAGGGGAAAGACGCUUGAAGAGGGGGCUGCGACGCAUCAGCUAGUUGGUGGGGUAAAGGCUCACCAAGGCAACGACGCGUAGGGGGUCUGAGAGGAUGAUCCCCCACACUGGGACUGAGACACGGCCCAGACUCCUACGGGAGGCAGCAGUGAGGAAUAUUGCACAAUGGGGGCAACCCUGAUGCAGCGACGCCGCGUGGAUGAUGAAGGCCUUCGGGUUGUAAAGUCCUUUUGCCACUGACGAGAACGGACGGUAGGUGGCGAAUAAGCCCCGGCUAACUACGUGCCAGCAGCCGCGGUAAAACGUAGGGGGCGAGCGUUAUCCGGAGUUACUGGGCGUAAAGGGUGUGUAGGCGGUGCUAUAAGUGGGG
rnacentral:rRNA from 1 species